AACGUAGGAUGCGAGCGUUAUCCGGAUUUACUGGGCGUAAAGCGCGUGUAGGCGGUUUGGUAAGUUGGAUGUGAAAGCUCCUGGCUUAACUGGGAGAGGUCGUUCAAUACUGCCGAGCUAGAGGAUGGUAGAGGGAGGUGGAAUUCCGAGUGUAGUGGUGAAAUGCGUAGAUAUUCGGAGGAACACCAGUGGCGAAAGCGGCCUCCUGGACCAUUUCUGACGCUCAGACGCGAAAGCUAGGGUAGCAAACGGGAUUAGAGACC
rnacentral:rRNA from 1 species